CGGUAAUACCAGCUCUCCGAGUGGUAGGGAUGAUUAUUGGGCUUAAAGCGUCCGUAGCCUGCUUAGCAAGUCUCCUGUUAAAUUCAGCGACCUAAUCGUUGAGCCGCGGGAGAUACUACUAGGCUAGGAGGCGGGAGAGGUCGACGGUACUUCUGGGGUAGGGGUGAAAUCCUAUAAUCCCGGGAGGACCACCAGUGGCGAAGGCUGUCGGCUAGGACGCG
rnacentral:rRNA from 1 species